rnacentral:rRNA from 1 species
GACGAACGCUGGCGGCGUGCUUAACACAUGCAAGUCGAACGGAAAGGCCCUGCUUUUGUGGGGUGCUCGAGUGGCGAACGGGUGAGUAACACGUGAGUAACCUGCCCUUGACUUUGGGAUAACUUCAGGAAACUGGGGCUAAUACCGGAUAGGAGCUCCUGCUGCAUGGUGGGGGUUGGAAAGUUUCGGCGGUUGGGGAUGGACUCGCGGCUUAUCAGCUUGUAGGUGGGGUAGUGGCUUACCAAGGCUUUGACGGGUAGCCGGCCUGAGAGGGUGACCGGCCACAUUGGGACUGAGAUACGGCCCAGACUCCUACGGGAGGCAGCAGUGGGGAAUAUUGCACAAUGGGCGGAAGCCUGAUGCAGCAAUGCCGCGUGCGGGAUGACGGCCUUCGGGUUGUAAACCGCUUUCGCCUGUGACGAAGCGUGAGUGACGGUAAUGGGUAAAGAAGCACCGGCUAACUACGUG